rnacentral:rRNA from 1 species
UACGUAGGGGGCGAGCGUUGUCCGGAUUUACUGGGCGUAAAGAGCGUGUAGGUGGUACGAAUAGUCUGCUGUGAAAGCGCCCGGCUCAACUGGGCGAGGUCAGUGGAAACUGUCGCACUAGAGGACGGUAGAGGAGAGUGGAAUUCCCGGUGUAGUGGUGAAAUGCGUAGAGAUCGGGAGGAACACCAGCGGCGAAGGCGGCUCUCUGGGCCGCUCCUGACACUGAGACGCGAAGGCCAGGGGAGCGAACGGG